CCUACGGGAGGCAGCAGUGAGGAAUAUUGGUCAAUGGGCGCGAGCCUGAACCAGCCAAGUAGCGUGAAGGAUGACUGCCCUACGGGUUGUAAACUUCUUUUAUAAAGGAAUAAAGUGAGGCACGUGUGCCUGUUUGUAUGUACUUUAUGAAUAAGGAUCGGCUAACUCCGUGCCAGCAGCCGCGGUAAUACGGAGGAUCCGAGCGUUAUCCGGAUUUAUUGGGUUUAAAGGGAGCGGAGUUGGGUUGUUAAGUCAGUUGUGAAAGUUUGCGGCUCAACCGUAAAAUUGCAAUUGAUACUGGCAGUCUUGAGUACAGUUGAGGUAGGCUCAAUUCGUGGUGUAGCGGUUAUAUUCUUAGAUAUCACGAAGAACUCCGCUUGCGCAGGCAGCUUACUAAACUGCCACUGACAUUGAUGCUCGAAAGUGUGGGUAUCAAACAGGAUUCGAUACCCCGGUAGUC
rnacentral:rRNA from 1 species